rnacentral:lncRNA from 1 species
GUGAAGUAACGGGAGUUCUCGCCAUAUCCGAUCCAGUGAAACCAGGUGGACAAAAAGUUAUUUCCAUUCUCAAGUCAAUGAAUGUAAGAAGCAUCAUGGUGACUGGUGAUAAUUGGGGAACUGCAAGUUCCAUUGCUAGUCAAAUUGGCAUUGAAACUGUUGUUGCAGAAACUAAACCUGAACAAAAAGCAGAGAAAGUAAAAGAGUUACAAGCGGAAGGUUAUGCUGUGGCAAAGGUAGGGGAUGGCAUCAAUGAUUUGCCGGCACUUGAAGCCGCCGAUGUCGGUAUGGCAAUCGGUGCAGGAACAGAUAUUGCAAUAGAGGCAGCUGAUAUAGUUCUGAUGAAGAGUAACUUAGAGGAUGUGAUCACAGCCAUACACCUUUCUAAGAAAACAUUUUCUCAUAUUUGCCUUAACUAUAUUUGGGCAUUUGGGUAUAAUAUGCUUGGGACCCCAAUAGCUGCAGAGUCUCUAUUUCCACCAACUAGAUUUCGUUUACCUCUAUGGAUUGCUGGAGCUGCCAUGGUUGCUUCCUCUGUCAGUGUUGUUUGCUGCUAACUCUUGUUAAUGUUAGAGUUAGUUAUGAAUUGUUAUUCUGGUGCAAUAGUUGUUAAGCCGUUAAGGGAAAGUUAGUCAGUAGCAGUUCUCUAUAAAUAACAGUUGUAAAGUUCAAAGAAAAGCUGGAUAUGAAAUACACAGUAUACUAUCUCUUUCAUUCGUUUCUUCUUUAGUUAAGAUAGUUCUUAUCUUAGGUUUUAUCAUGGUAUCAGUCGCCUAGUUCCUGGUGCUUGUGCUUCUUUUCGUCUUACGCUCAUGGAUCCAUUUAUUGCAUCUCCGACUGGUGGUGCUACUGCUCCUUUCUCCAUUUCGCGUUUAGUGCAUAGUUUUCCUCGUCAUGAAACAAUUAAUUUGGAUAAGACGAACUGUGUUCAAUGGCAACUUCAAGUUCGUUUGAUUGUUGAAGCUAUGAUCUUCAAGGUUUCUUGGACGGUUCUGUUCCUGCUCCGCCGAAGGUGGUGGCUACACCGGAUGGUACUCUCGCUCCGAAUCCGGAAGCGAUUCUGUUCCAACAACAGGGAUAAGUUGCUGGCAUCGUGGCUUCUCUCUACGGUUAAUUCUUCUCUGCUCUCUUAUUUCAUUUCUACUAAAACUGCGAGUGAUAUUUAGAGUGCUGCGAGUCAUUUGUUUGCAGCUUCAUCCAUCGAGAAGGUGUCUCAGAUCCGGCAUGAUCUCCAUGCGGUCCAGAAAGGUGGAUUCGCUGUCAAAGAGUAUGUAUCACGCAUCAAGACUCUGUGUGCUCUUCUAGAGGUGUCGGGUUCGGCUGUUUUUGAGGCAGAGAAAGUGGAGGUACUCCUUGAUUGUAUUUCUUCUGAUUUCGAUUCUGUGUUUAUGUUAGUUUCAGUCUCGUCGGAGCCGUUAUCGUUUCAAAAACUUGUUGAUAUAUUGAUGGCCAUUGAGAAUCGCCAAACACAGGUUGCAAGGGAUGUCCCAAUGGUUACGCAUGUUGUUGAAACUCCUGUUGCGGUUGCUGAGUAUGAUUCUCGUGUUGUGCGUGGUGAGAGGUCAUCGACUGGAUCUCGCGGUGGUCGUGGUUUCCAUCCUAGAGUGCAGUGUCAGAUAUGUAAUCUGCUCGGCCAUGUUGCGCAGUGCUGCUACUAUCAGUUUGACAGAGAGUUUGAUACUUCCUCUUUUAGUCAUGAUGCUCUGGCCGUUGGUGGUGAGUAUCGUUCUCGGGCGUUCCCUCCGGUGCAACGUGUUGAAGGAAGGCAGUGGAUAUGGCAGAAUCAUUCUGCUACGCCUGCGUUUGGAUCUGCAUAGCAUGGUAGGCAGUAUGUGUCGACUGGGCAGCAUGGUGGGCCAUAUGCGCCCCGUGUGUAUGCACCUGGGCCUUAUGCCCGUCCUAGUAGGCAAUUUGUAGAUCGUGGGGCCCAGUAUGAUCUGGGUCAGAUGCAGUAUGCUCCUACGCCAAAUGUUAUUGGCCGAAUGCCUGGGCCACAUGGCCCUCCCGAUUAGCGUCAUGGGCCGGUUCCUGGUGCUCAAACCGUGCCUCAAGAUUCUCUUGGUUCUCUUGUUGCGAAUUUUGUGGGCGUCCCGACUGUUCCGCUUGAGGUCCCGUGGCGUACAAAACAUCAUGCUCGAUUUUUUGAUAUUGAUAAUUCUCAGGAUAUUGGAUUGCCUCGUAUUCUCGAUUUUCGUGCUUCUAAUUUUUCGGACACAUCCCGGUAUGACUCGAGUUUUGGCAGUGUGGAUCCUUAUGUUCCCACACCAGUCGGGACUACAUCGUGGUGCCCGGACUCUGGUGCUUCUCAUCAUAUUUGCCAGAAUGCAGCAGAUUUAAAUGCUCCUACUCUUUAUUCAGGUACAUCUGAAUUUUUAAUGGGCAAUGGGGUUAUUUCUAAAAUGUUGUUUGUAGGAGAUACGAUUCUUUCUUCAAAUUCAAAGCUCUUGCGGUUGACUAAUGUGUUGUGUGUUCCAAGUAUUCGCAAGAAUCUCUUAUCUAUGUCGUAGUUUGCUCAGGAUAACAAUGUGUUUUUGGAAUUUCACCCCUCUUAUUGUGUCAUUAAGGACAUUAAGACGCAUGAAAUCUUGUUGCGGGGCCAAGUUCGUGAUGGGCUCUAUCAUUUCUCAGUUGCUUCCCUUGUCUCAUCUGCUCAAGUGGCUGAGGUUCAUAAUGUUGAUGUUCAAGAUUCCUCAUUGAUCCUUGAUGAUUUCACGCUAUGGCAUAAUCGACUUGGUCAUCCGUCGGCUAGGAUUUUUAAUGAUGUUUUAAAUAAAUAUGGAAUUGUUUCUAAUAAAAAGACUCUCACUAAUGUUUGUAUUGCAUGUCAGAAGGGCAAGUCUCAUAAACUGCCGUUUUCUAAGUCCAAUACUGAGUAUGUGGAGUUGUUUGAAUUAGUUGUAUCUGAUUUGUGGGGUCCGGCAUCUGUUGCCUGUGAAAGAAAUUUGUACUAUGUUUCCUUUGUAGACAUGUACAGUCGGUUUACGUGGGUUUACUUGAUUAAACGUAAGUCUCAAGCAUUAGACUGUUUUCUUCAAUUUCAGAAAUUGGUAGCUACUCAGUUUGGCAAGCAAAUUAAGAAGUUUCAAAGCGAUUGGGGUGGGGAGUUUCAUGUUUUUGCGUCAGUCCUUGCUGAUCAAGGGAUUUUACAUCGUUUAUCUUGCCCGCACACUUUUGAACAAAAUGGAGUGGCUGAGCGUAAGUAUCGACAUAUCGUGGAAAUUGGUCUAACCUUACUUGCUCAAGCUAAUCUUCCUAUGAAACAUUGGGGUUAUGCGUUCAGCAGUGCUGUUCAUCUUAUUAAUAGACUGCCUACUUCUGUUUUACAAGGUCAUACAUAGUAUCAAAGACUGUAUGGGUGUGUUCCCCAAUAUGCUUAUCUCCAGAUUUUUGGAUGUUGUUAUUUUCCGUACCUAUGCCCAUUCUUACGUCAUAAGCUAGAUUUUCAUUCUCAGCCCUGUACAUUUUUAGGUUAUAGCUCUCAACAUAAGGGUUAUUUUUGUCUUACUCCAGAAGAGAAAAUGAUUGUUUCUCGUCAUGUUGUGUUUGAUGAGCAUCGGUUCUUGUUUUUGCCUCCGGUGUCGACUAAUGCUGGUCAUUCUAUGCAAACUGUUACGUAUGUUCCUCUUGUUCAUACGUCCCCUUCCACACAUUCGAAACCUCCUGUCAGUUCUUCACAACUUCCUGUUGUUUCUUCACCGUCUCCUGUGCUUGAAUCUGCUUGUGAGGCUAUUCGCUCUGCUUUUGAUUCUCAAUCUGCAACGUGUUCAUUACCAGCAGCUGUGACUAUUCAGUCUGGUGCUGCUAGUACGGGGAAUGUAAGGGGUAGUUACUCUUCCACUUCGGUGUCUUCUGAGCAGUCAAUCCCGUUAAAUGUGCCUUGUGUUUCUUCAGGAAAUACUCAUGCUAUGGUCACACGAUCGAAGGUAGGAAUUUUCAAGCCCAAGGUUUUAACUGCUAUAGCUGUUGAUUUUGAGCCAUGUUUUAUUGAAGAGGCCCUUGCUCAUCCGAACUGGAAGGUUGCUGUUCAAGCUGAAUUUGAUGCACUCAUGGCUAAUUCGACUUGGGACCUUGUACCUUCUCUUCCUGGACGGCGAGCGAUCGAGUGCAAAUGGUUAUUCAAAAUUAAGAGAAAUCCUGACGGUUCUGUUAAUCGACGAAAGGCUCGCUUAGUUGCUAAAGGGUGUUCUCAAAUACCAGGUUGUGAUUUUACAGAAACCUUUAGUCUUGUAGUUAAACAGGCUACUAUUCGUAUUAUCUUGUCUAUUGUUGUUUCAAGACGAUGGCCCCUUCGUCAGGUCGAUGUGAAUAAUGCAUUCUUGAACGGGGAUUUGGAUAAUGAAGUGUUCAUGCAACGACCUCCGGGGUUUGUUCAGUAUGAUUCUGCUGGGCAGCCUUUUGUCUGUCGAUUGAAGAAGGCCUUGUAUAGGCUUCGAAAAGCCCCACGAACAUGGUUUGAUAAACUCAAGCGGUUUCUUGUGUCUAUUGGGUUUGUCGUAUCGAAGUCUGAUACAUCUCUCUUUAUUCGUAUUACGUCUGAUUCCGUCUUAUAUGUCCUUGUGUAUGUCGAUGAUAUAAUUAUCACUGGUAAUGUCUCAACUGUUAUUGCUAAAUUUGUUGAUUAGUUAAAUGCUGAGUUUGCUCUCAAAGAUAUGGGUGAUUUGCAUUAUUUUAUUGGAAUUGAGGUUACCCGCUCGUCUACUGGGUGCCUUCACUUAUGUCAGAAAAAAUAUAUUCGGGAUCUUCUUGCUCGAAGUUCACUCUCCAAUGCCAAACCGGUUCAUACACCUAUGAUUUUCUCCUCUCGAUUGUCCAAAAGUUAUGGUGAUCCGUUAAGUGAUCCUACAAAUACCGGAGUCUUGUCGGAGCCCUGCAGUUCGUUGUCCUUACUCGUCCUGACAUUGCUUAUGUUGUUAAUCAUAUUUGUCAAUUCAUGCACAACUCUUCUACAGUUCAUAUGGUUGCUUUGAAGCGAAUAUUGCGAUAUUUAUAUGGUACGCUUGAUUAUGGUGUUGUCUUUCGCCCUUCUACCCGUUUGUCUCUUGUGGGAUAUGCUGAUGCUAACUGGGGGUUGGAUUUUGAUGACCGCCGUUCUACGUCUGGCUACUGUAUGUAUUUUGGAUACUCGCCAGUUUUGUGGUGCUCCAAAAAGCAGCAAGUCGUCUCUCGCUCUACGGCUGAAGCAGAAUACCAGAGUCUUGCUGCAGCUACUAGUGAUGUCACUUGGUUGCUCUCUCUGCUUCAGGAGUUACAAGUUUCGUCUGCCGAUACUCCUACUAUCUAGUGUGAUAAUUCUAGUUCCGUUGCCGUUGCUGCUAAUCCUGUUCUUCAUUCUAAGUUUAAGCAUGUGGACCUUGACUUGUUCUUUGUUCGGGAGAAGGUUGCCGCUGGUACCAUUGUUGUUGGUAAGGUACCUGCCUGUGAUGAAGUUGCUGACAUUCUUACUAAGCCACUUUCCUUGGCGUGUUUUACUCGGUUUAGACAAUUUCUUAGGGUUUUUCCUGUCGAGCAGCUGGAUGCAUGUUAGAGUUAGUUAUGAAUUGUUAUUCUGGUGCUAUAGUCGUUAAGUCGUUGAGGGAAAGCUAGUCAGUAGCAAUUCUCUAUAAAUAACAGUUGUAAAGUUCAAAGAAAGGCUGGAUAUAAAAUACACAGUAUACUAUCUUUUUCAUUCGUUUCUUCUUUAGUUUCUAUUCAAGAUAGUUCUUAUUUUAGGUUUUAUCAGUUAAAGAAUUACAAGAGACCCAAGAAGCUGGAAAACCUUGAAAUUGGUGGAAUACAGAUUGAAUAAUAGAUGAUGAGAGUUCUAUAUAUCCACAUAUAUAUAUAUAUAUAUAUAUAUAUGUAUGCAGGUUUGUUAUUUAAGUUAAUUUUAACAGGCUUGUUAGUGGGUUAAGCCUUGCCUAAGUUAUAUUUUAAUUAUUUGCUAUUUUCAUGUUAUGUUUUCCUAAACAAAGAUAUAGAAAGGAAUAUGUAAUGAAAUGCCUGGGAUAUUGUAUUUGUCUAAAACUUUGGAUUCUCUUUUCUCUCUUUUCUGUUAGCCUUCUUCUUUUCUUUAUGGGAUUUCAUUAAUUAUCCUACAUCAAAUUGUAUUCAGAGCACUCAAACUUUAAUACACUUACAUAUGCAUAAUCUUGUAAUCAUAUAAAAAAAUAUAAAUUUUAUUCAACAAAAAUAUAACAUAUUGACAAUAAAAUAAGUUUAAACUAGUUGAUAUUGUGAAAAAUAAAUAUAAAUAUUUUUAAAAUUAAUUAAUGCAUUAAAUAUAAGUAAACAAUAUGUAUUGAAUUAAUGGAAAUAUAUUCUUAUAAGGAAAUUAUCUUAAAUUAAUUUUUUUCAUUCCAAAUUACAGCUUAAGUAGCCAAAUUUCCUCCAUUUUUAUAUUCAUUUUAAGCUGGAAUUUUGGCAGUUCAAGCAAUUAUAGAUAUACAUAUAUGGCUAUUUCUUAUAGAGGAAGAAAACAGUCUCUGAAAUAUCAGUGUCUAUAUACAUAUACACGUGAACUCCCUUUUUUUUUUCUUACCAUUUUCCUAGAAAAUUCUAAGCAUUCAUAUCAUUAGUUUCACGGUGCAUACCAAAUAUAUAUGAAGUUUUAUUUCAUUAACAAAAGUGUAAAAAAAAAAUAAUUAUUCAAAUUUUCCGUUUUUAAUUUAUAUUUAUCAUAAUACAAACUAUUACAAUUCUAAAAAUUAAUUACAAAUUUUAACAAGUAAAUAUAAAAUUAAAAUUAAUAUAUUCAAAGCUAGUAAUGAAUAUAAAAACCUUAAUUUUACAAUUUCACAUUUAAUUUCCAUAUAAAUAUUUUUUUAUAAAUAUAUGUUACGUAUAAAAGAAUUCAUCCAUGGUGCAUAAUCUUAAUAUUUAUAAGAUGCAGAAGUCAAGAGACGAAUGUGAGGGAGCAGGCAGGGGCCUUGACCCCCUAAAAUAAAAAAAAAAUUCAAUUUAAUUUUCUUAUAAAUAAAGAAAUUAUAAUGAAAUUACAUUUUGACCCAUUUAAAUAAAUUUUUUAAUUUAAUUCUCUUAUAAAUAAAGAAAACAGUAAGAUUGUAUUUUAACCCCUCAAAAUAAAAAUGUUUAGUCCCUUCAAAAUAAUCAAAUUAUAAAAUUAAUAUAUAAUAAAUUUAUAUUUUAUCUAUAAAAAAUUAUAGUUAAAUUUCGACUCUGUAAAUUUGUCUUUGCUGAAUCGUAAAUCAAAUUGAUUAACUAAGAUAGAGUAAGAAAAGGAAACCAAUUUGGCUAUGUUGAUUACAACGUAGUGACCAAUCAAUCAUGUUUCCUUAAAAGUUUAUUAAGUUUAUUUUUAUUUUAUUUUGACGAAAUAAGCGUAAUUUCUAUGUUUGCAAAGCCUUAGACUUUUGAGAAUGACAUUAACAGAACAAAUGGUAAAUUUAGCAAUUGGUUGAGCAGUGAACUAAAGAAUUAUUCACUUGGAUAUCCCAAGUUGGGAUCUCAAAUCAAAGAUUUUAUUUUUAUACAGAAAGUUAACCACGUCAGGGAAUGUAUCAUAACCAUGUUAGAGGCAGCUGAUAUACUUUUGAUGAAGAGUAACUUAGAGGAUGUGAUCAUAGCAAUACACCUUUCCAGGAAAACAUAUUCUCAUAUUCGCCUUAACUAUAUUUGGGCAUUGGGGUAUAAUAUACUUGGGAUUCCAAUAGCCACAAGGGCUCCAUUUCCAUCAAGUGGAUUUCGUUUACCUCCAUGGAUUGCUGGAGCUGCCAUGGCUGCUUUCUCUGUUAGUGUUGUUUGCUGCUCACUCUUGUUAAAGAAUUACGAGAGACCCAAGAAGCUGGGAAACCUUGAGAUUAGUGGAACACAGAUUGAAUAAAUAGAUGAUGGGAAUUCUAUAUAUCCACAUAUAUAUGUAUAUGUAUAGGCUAGGGAUGUGAAAUUUGGCAAACUAAAUAAUAAAGAUAUCAUGAAAAGACUGGUUUCGCUAGGCUGCCAAAUUAUGUACACAUGUUUGGUGUUAUGAUUUUCAGGAUAUAAUUGUAGUUUCAAAGUUAGGCGAGCUUUGCAUGAGGAUGAAAGUAUUUUUUUUCUUUUAUAAUACUAAUUUUAUCUGGUACGUGAGAUAAAAUAUAUAAUUAAUAAAAUAUAUUUAAAUACUUAAAGUAGUAAUAAAAAUAUAUAAAUAAAUUAAUGCAUGAAGUUUAUUAUGUUACAUUCUAUUACUGUAUGAGUUGAUAAUUUAUCGGAAAAAGUAUUAAGGAAACCUUUAAAUUUAGGACGGACUACAUUUCGACCUCUUUAUUGAAAAACAAGUAAAGUAAUCCUUAUACAUUUAGAAAUAUGCAAAUUAACCUUUCCCUUAAAUUUUAUCUGUUAAAUAAUUGAUGUGAAACGUUAAAUCCAAGCUGAAAAUUAUUUUUUUAUAGGUAAACUAUAAAAAUUGUCACUCAAUUAUGCUUUUCAUUAUAUUUUGGUUACCAAACUAUUAAUUUUGAUUUAGUCAUUAAACUUUUUGAAUUAAAUAUCUUAGUCACUCUAAGCUUUUGUGAUAUUUUUUUAUUGGUCUAAUAAUAAAUUUAGCCCUCUAAUAUUUACAUAUUCUAUCAUUUUGAUCCUAAAUAUAAAAUAUUCAACAAAUUUAGCCAUCAAUGUUUACAAAAUUUAUCAUUUUAGUUCUAAUUUAAAAAAAACCAAUGAAUUUGGCCCUCAAUGUUUACAAAAUUUUUCAAUUUAGUCCUAACUCCGAAAAUUAAAAAAUAUAUAUUUAAAAACAAAUCAUUUUUACCCCUUUAUAGCCCAUUGGCUAAAUCAUGUGAGAUAUUAAAAUAAGAAAAAGAAGUACCCUCUUUCAAGUCACUUGCAACAAUUUCUUUUACUAUAACUUAAGCUUCAAACUAGACCAAACCAAUUAAUUUGGAACUUUUCUUGAAUAAUCGCGAACAUAUAAUGUUUUUAAUGCCUUUAUUUUCUUUUGGAUCUUAAAUUCUUGUGUUUUAUCUAAAUUUUAAGAGUUUUUUUUUGCAAGUGAGUGGAAAGAUGGUACUCUUUUUUCUUAUUUUAAUAUCUUACAUGAAUUUGCUGAUAGGUUAGAAAGGGCUAAAAAUGAAUUGCUUUUUUAAAAAAAAAAUAUUUUUAAAAUUUUAGAGUUAGGACUAAAUUGACAGAUUUUAUAAAUGUUGAGGGCCAAAUUUAAUAAUUUUUUAGGAUUAGACCUAAAAUGAAAAAUUUUGUAAACAUUAAGGGCUAAAUUUGUUGAAUUUUUUAUAUUUAAGAUCAAAAUGAUAGAAUGUAUAAACAUCGUAGGGCUAAUUUUGUUACUAGACCAAUAAAAAAAAGCCCACACUAACUCAAAGUGAUGGAAAUAUUUAAUUUUGAAAAGCUUAGUGAUUAAAUCAAAAAAAAAUUAAUAGUUGAGUCAGCAAAAAAGAACAAAAGGCAUAAUUUGGUAACCAUUUUUAGAGUUUACUAAUAAAAAAUAAAUUUCAGCAUGAAUUUAACAUUCCACAUAAUCAUUUAACUAAUAAAAUUUAUGAGAGAAAUUAAUUUAUACGUUUUAAAAUGUAUAAUAACUUGUUUACUCAUUUUUUUAAUAGAGUAGAUGAAAUGCAAUCCAUGUGAUGCCUUAUACUUUUAUCUAAAUUAUCUUAUAAACUGAAAUUUAAGUUUUUUUUUUUCUCUAAAAUUUAAGUUUUUUUUAACAGGCUUAUUAGUAGGUUAAGCCUGGCCUAAGUUAUAUUUUAGUUAUUUGCUAUUUUCAUGUUAUGUUUUCCUAUACUGAUAUAUAGAAAGGAGUAUGGAAUGAGAUGCCAGGGAUACCGUAUUUGUCCCAAAACCUCGGAUUCUCUUCUCUUUCUUUCCUGUUAGUAAAAACUAAAUAUUUUUAAAUAUUAAUAUUGUGAAAAAUAAAUAUAAAUAUUUUUAAAAUUAAUUAAUGAAUUAAAUAUAAGUAAACAAUAUGUAUUGAAUUAAUGGAAAUAUAUUUUUAUAAGGAAAUUGUCUUAAAUUAAUUUUUUUCAUUCUAAAUUACAGCGUAAGUAGCCAAAUUUCUGCCAUUUUUAUAUUCAUUUUAAGCUGGAGUUUAGGCAGUUCAAGCAACUACAGAUAUACAUAUAUGGCAAUUUUUAUAGCGGAAGAAAACAGUCUCGGAAAUAUCUGUCUCUAUAUAUUUCACGUGAACUCCCUUUUUUUUCUUUUAUUACCAUUUUCCUAGAAAAUUCUAAGCAUUCAUAACAUUAGUUUCACGGUGGUAAAAAAAAACAAUUAUUCAAAAUUUCCGUUUUUAAUUUAUAUUUAUCAUAAUGCAAGCUAUUAUAAUUCUAAAAAUAAAAUUAAAAAUAAUAUAUUCAGUUAAAAAGCUAGUAAUGGAUAUGAAAACCUUAAUUUUACUAUUUCACGUUUAAUUUUCAUAUAAAUAUUCUUUUAUAAAUAUAAGUUACAUAUAAAAGAAUUCAUCCAUUAAUGGUGCAUAAUCUUAAUAUUUAUAAGAUGUAGAAGUUAAGAGACGAAUGUGAGGGAGGGCGGGGACCUUGACCCCUUAAAAUAAAAAAAAAUUAAUUUAAUUUUCUUAUAAAUUAAGAAACUAUAAAUUAAUAUAUAAUGAAAUUACAUUUUGACCCAUUCAAAUGAAUUUUUUUAAUUUAAUUCUCUUAUAAAUAAAGAAAACAGAAAGAUUGUACUUUAACCCCCUCAAAAUAAAAAUGUUUAGUCACUUCAAAAUAAUCAAAUUAUAAAUUAAUAUAUAAUAAAUUUAUGUUUUAAUCUAUAAAAAGUUAUAGUUAAAUUCUAACUCUGAAAAUUUGUCAUUGCUGAACCAUAAAUCAAAUUGAUUAACCAAGAUAGAGUAAGAAAAGGAAACCAAUUUGGCUAUGUUAAUUACAACAUAGUGACCAAUCAAUCAUGUUUCCUUAAAAUUUAUUAAAUUGAUUUUUAUUUUAUUUUGAUGAAAUAAGCACAAUAUUCUAUGUUUGCAAAGCCUUAGGCUUUUGAGAAUGACACUAAUAGAAUAAAUAGUAAAUUUAGCAAUUGGUUGAGCAGUGAACUAAACAAUUAUUCACCUGGGUUGGGAUCUUAAAUUAAAGAUACUAUUUGUAUUUUUAUUUUUAUACAGAAAGUUAACCACAUUAGGGAAGGUACCAUAACCUAGAGGAUGCAGCUGAUAUACUUCUGAUGAAGAGUAACUUAGAGGAUGUGAUCACAGCCAUAUACCUUUCCAGGAAAACAUUUUCUCAUAUUCACCUUAACUAUAUUUGGGCAUUGGGGUAUAAUAUACUUGGGAUUCCAAUAGCUGCAAGGACUCUAUUUCCAUCAACUAGAUUUCGUUUACCUCCAAGGAUUGCUAGAGCUGCCAUGGCUACUUCCUCUGUUAGUGUUGUUUACUGCUCACUCUUGUUAAAGAAUUACAAGAGACCUAAAAAGCUGGAAAACCUUGAAAUUGGUGGAAUACAAAUUCAAUAAUAGAUGAUGGGAGUUCUAUAUAUCCAUAUAUAUAUAUAUAUGCAGGUUUGUUAUAUAUGUAUAGGUUGGGGGUGUGAAAUUUGACAAACUAAAUAAUAAGGUGUCAUGAAAAGAGUGGCUUUGCUAGGCUGCCAAAUUAUGUACAUAUGUUUGGUGUUAUUAUGAUUUUCAGGAUAUAAUUGUAGUUCCAAAGUUUGGUGAGCUUUGCAUGAGUAUGAAAGAUUUUUUUUUUCUUCUAUAAUUCUAAUUUUAUCUUGUAAGUGAGAUCUAAUAUAUAAUUAAUAUAAUAUAUUUAAAUAAUUAAAGUAGUAACAAAAAUAUUUAAAUAAAUUAAUGCUAAAAAUAUUUAUAAUUGGAAUCCAAACUAACUAAUUCAUCAUAACUUGAGUUCAUAACAAAUUAAAUUCAUAAUAGCAUAAGUCAUUUAUUAUUCAAAUAAUCGAUCGACUCUUAAUUCUAUCGAUAUUUGCAUUAUAUAUGUUCUAAACAUUCAAUUAAUUAAAUUAAGUAAUUAUUUUAUCAAAAUAUUAUUAGUAAUAAAUUUAAAAUUAUUUAAUUAUAGAAUAAACAUCAAUAUAAUUUUGAUCUGCUAGUAAAUUAGGAAAUAAUUUACAUAAAGAAUUUUUAUGUAGAACUAAAAAUGUAUAUUGGUUAUAUAUAUAUAGAAAUAAUAUUUGAUAUAUUAUUAGUGGAGUUUUUAGACUCCACAAGCAUUAUCAAGAGUAAUGGUAGAAGAGACGUAAUUACUUUUGCCUUUUUUUUUGGAAGCUUUAUCCCGUCUCCAGGGGUUCUCAUAUUCAACCCCUCUUUUACUUUUUUUUUUUGUACCAAUAACUUUUCUUAACAUGGAAUGUGAAAUAUUUGUCUAAUUUACAUUCUUUUUGCUCAAUUCCCUUUCUAGGUUGCCAAAUAAAAUUGGAUAAUCUAAUUUCUAUUUCAAGGUUCAUCCAUGGGAUUUCAUGAUGUUAUGGUACGCCCCUCUUAUCUUUUUCUUUCUUUCUUUUGUUUUGCUAUUUUUCUUUACAUUUCUCAUUGACUUAGCAGGUUUCUCUUUGAUUCGUAUGAUUGUUUGAUCGUAUAAUGUUGCUUCGAGUUUAGUUAUAGAUCCUAUCUAUUUGUUUUCUCUUUGUCAUUUUCCUUUAGGAGGUAAUCAAGUUAGUGACAAUUUUAGGUAUGAUGGUGUCUAUUACUUUGGCUCUAAUUGCUAGAAACUAAGCUUUGUAAAGCUAGAUUAUUUUAGAAUUAUAAGAUUUUUUUUAAAAGUGUAAGAGUUUAGCAUGCUAUCGUCCAUCUGAAAUACUUGUAGUGAAGGACACUUUAGGAGAUUAUUGAGGAAUCAAUAAAUUUGUUCAAUGUUAAGGUGAACUUUCCGCUGACGAUUUGGUGGUUGGGAUGAUUGAAAAAGCCAUUAAAAAAAACCCACAUGCCAAAAAAGUUCUAUUUUAGAUGGUUUUUCAAUGACUGUGGUUCAGGCACAAAAGGUGCUUUACUUAAUGUCACAUACUAAUAUCCCUUGCAGUUUUUUUUCCCUUUUUGAGUAUUAUGUUGGCUUUGAUACUUCUUGGGCUUUAACCAUGUUUGUUGUCUUGCUUAUACAGCUUCAUAAGAUGCCUUAGAAGCUACUAACUAAGAUUGACAAUGUGUUGAACUUUGCAACCGAUGAUUCCUUUUUUGAGGAGAGGAUCAAUGGUUGUUAGAUUGAUCCUUCUAGUGGUUGAAUCUAGCCCAUGAAAUUUGCACCUUCUGAAGUUCUCAGUGUUGAUGAUGUAGGUUUCCUUUUACUAUAAUUUUGAUUCAUCUUUUCUAUUACUAAAUGAUUAUUGAUAUCAAGUAAAGUUGCAAGCUCCAUUGCAUUAGAUAUAUGGGCUAAUUUGUUAAACUAACUGUGACAUUCGUCAAUGCCCUUAUGCUAUUGUUAGUGUUUGUAAAUUAUAUUGAACGCAUUGAAAAAAAUAGAACUUGCAUUCUCUUUAGGAUAGUUAUAGUUCUUACUUAGUUUUCAUCAACAAUGUCUACACAAAUGUGCUGCCUUUGCACCAUUGGAAAUGAAUUAAAGCUAGAUUCUCUUAAGACAAUGAUAUUUGAAUUGUGCAUGAUUGUUUGAUUGACAUACUUAUGUUCGCUUUGACCUUACUUGUUUGUGUAACUAAGUCCACCUUCAGACUGUAGGAGAUUGAUUGUUGGCUCAAACAAAGUUGAAACUUGUUUGACAGUUGGUGUUAUUUAAGCAAACUUAAUGGGUUCUUCAAAAUAACACUAUUAUGUGGUGAGAUACUGUCGAAGUUCGAUUUCUCCAUACAUAAAUCAGAUUUUGAGAUUGAUCAUAUAUCUUGAAUUGGAGUUAUCUUGAAAAUGUUUCUACUUUUAUUGGUGACAGUGUGGAAUAGAUGCCUAUGCAACUGAUAGGGUGCUUUUUUUAUCUUCCAAGCCUUCUGUAUACGCAAAUAUUAACUACAAUGCGCUAUCUACUACUAUCAGUUGUAGACAGACCUCUAUUGUUAGAUCACUUUUACAGGUAAACAUCUCAGAACAUAGUCAAUCAUGAUCUGUAGCUUCCCACUAGAAUUUUUUUUUUGAAUUUGCACUCUUUGUUACAUGGGAUUUAAAGUGCUAUAUAUGUAUAAGCUUUUUAAUCAAGUUGUUGCUUGUGUACUUAUCUGUAGAGUGUUCUUAAAAGACAUUACUAACUUUUUCAAAAUUGAUGAUCAGACUGGCAUCAAGAUGGACUUAAAGGUAAGAGUUGGAGACUGGUUUUGGUAUUGCAAAAUGGAAAUUCAUAUUGUGGCGAACUUAACUUGUAUAGCCAUGAGCUCACUUGAAGCUGUGAGCUUAUCUAAAGUAGCGAGCUUACAUAAAGACGUGAGCUUAACUCAAGUUGCGAGCACAUUAAAGUGUGAACUAUUAAGGUUUUUGAUAAACCCUCAAUUAAAAUGCAAGUAGGGUUCAAAUAUGCUGAUAUUGAUGUUUUGUUUAGUCUGCUUGUUUGAGAUUAUUUGUUAAAACAAGCAGAGUUAGUAUUAAUUUGAUGUUUUUAGGUACUGAUUUACCUAAUCAGUUAGUGUGCAAGUUUUAUUUUUGCAUUUUCAAGGUGAUUUAGUAGGAUUUGUUGAUUAUUUGUAACCACUAUACGUAUAUAUUGUAAUUCAUGUGGAAUGAGAGGAUGAUGAGAAUUUGGUAGCAAUUCAUCAAUAAAUGCUAAGUAUUGUCAUUGUUUUCUCUCUAUUUUUUAUUGCUCUGUUCUCUCAUCUUCUCAAAACACCAAUAAUUGGUAUUAGAGCCUUAGUUUUUAAGGGUGUUGUGUGUGUUUUUCUUGUUGAAAAGAGUGUUGAUUGUAUCUUGUUUGUAUUGCAAUGUCAUUUAAAAGUUUUACACCACCUCCACCUUCUAUCUUUGCUAGAGAGAACUGCCAUUUUUGGGUAGUAAAGAUGAAAACGUAUCUACAGGCAUAUGACUUGUGGGAAGUUGUUGAUUCAAACAGAGAACCACCACCUUUGUAAGCUAAUCCAACUAUAGCUCAAAUUAGACAGCACAGUAAUGGUGUAUAAUCUUAAUAUUCUUUUAUAAAUAUAAGUUACAAGAUAAUGCUUUAGAAUAACGUAUUUUUAUGUAUAAUGCUUUAGAAUAACGUAUUUUUAUGUAUUAAUCAUGUGUUUAUUCUGAGCUUGAUUCUACUAAUUUGAGCUAUUUAUGUCUUUUUAUCUUUUAGGGACUGAUUUGGAGGCAAAAGCAAAAUUAAUGGAUAAAAGUGCGAAUUUGGAGACACAAUGGGCUGAUAUGCGACACAGGAAAAAGAUUGUGCCAAAAGUGCAAGCAUGGAAGACACAAGGACUAAAAACGCAAAAAGAAGAGAUUUUAUUCUAUAAGACUCCAUUUUAUUAGGAUAAUUAUUAGGAUUAUUUAAAUUUUAGGAUUUUAUUUUAAUUAUCUCUAUUUAUCUUUAAUUACAUGUAUUUAUCUUUUUAGAACUUAAGUUAAAUUAGACUAUCUCCCUAGCACUAUAAAUAGGGGGUGAAGUGACUCUAUUUGGGUUCAUCUUUUUCUGAAAAUACUCCCCCCUGAAAGUCUAGGCUUUUGUUUCUUCAUAUUUUCUUUCAAUAAAAAUUCCCUUUUCCCUUUUUAUAUUUAUUUUCUUUUCCACCAUUAUGAUGAGCCACUAAAACCUAUCUAGCCGAAAGUUGUCAAUAUUCCCCAAAAAAGGGUUCUUGAGGCCUAGAAUCCGUACUUAGCCUUCUCGCCAAGUAUUUAUCGUUUCUCUGCACUACGGGCUGACGCUUCCGUCCAUGGCCCUUAAGAAGUAAACUUUUCAGCAUAUGCAGAGGCGACCGCUUUGUAUGUUUUGGAAGGAUUGCACAGUCGGUUCGUUAACUUACUGCGUGAGAGGUUGGCAAGCCAAAGAGACAAAAUGGGGUGGGAUUCGCCAUUGAGAAGCGUUGAUCUAGCAUAGAUUACUGGCUAGAGUCAGAUUCCCUAAAAAUCGUAAGUCUAAUCUUUGGAGCUGGUGGUCGUAGGCGUCUUCUUCCACUAUAACUAGCUUACUUGAGUUGAGAAGGGUCAUUUAAAAGUCAAGGAUCGAACCCAAGGCAGAAUGAGACAACUAGAGGCUGGAAUCUACCAAUAAGAAUUUCUUUUCUUUUAACUCUCUUUAUUAUUUUUAUUAUUUUCGUAAUCACAAUUUCAAUCAACUUUAGAUUCUGUCUUUCAUUCUUUUCCAAAUUAAAUCUUUAAUUCUGUUAUUUUUAUUUUUUUCUACCACGCAAGUUUUCUUGGGCACGAUUCUGCCUAAGAUUUCGAGAAACAAGCAUUCGUAUAAUCCAAUCCCUGAGGAUUCAACCUACUUCCCCUUUACUGUUCUUUUUCAUUAUUUUACAGGGAAUAGGAUAUUAUUGGUGCUCUCAACUAUGCAUCAAAUUUUGGUGCCGUUACCGGGGAUCGGUAAUGUACUAAUCUUGUUUUUUGUUUCUUAUGACUAGAUCUGCUCCAGGAACUCUUGCGUUUGAUUCAGAGAUUGAAAAGACUACGAGAGCUAAUUGCAAGGAAACAAAGCUAAGAAAAAAGCAGUCAGCGGUGGUUGGGACUUAAAGUAAUCCACCACCAGAAAUCAGAAUCGACGACAAAGCAGAGUCUAGGGUUAACAAAAACCCUACUUAAACUUUUGAAGGUGAAAAAGUAGAAGUCGAUUCCUCAGAAGAAGUGUUUAACAUUAGGGUUGACGAAAACCCUAAUUUAGCACCUCAACCUAUUGCUCAGACAAUUCAGCAAUUGGCCAAAGCACCGACAGAACAACCGCUACUAUGCAUCGCGUAUCCUACUAUGGAUACUGAUUUUGAAUUAAAGUCAGGCUUGAUCCAGCUACUGCUAACUUUUCGGGGUUACAGAACGAAAAUCCUCAUAAGCAUUUGAAAGAAUUCCAUAUGGUUUGCCUUAGUAUGAAACCUCAGGGGGUAACUAAGGAUCAAAUUAAACUGCGCGCUUUCCCUUUUUCCUUAGCAGAUUCUGCUAGGGAAUGGUUAUUUUAUUUACUUCUUGGAUCUGUAACGACUUGGGUUGAUCUGUCUCGUUUAUUUCUCAACAGGUUUUUUCCAGCGUCGCGUACGAGUUAAGAAGAGAAAUCGUGGGCAUAAGGCAAAAAGACGCAGAGACUCUGUACGACUAUUGGGAGUGAUUUAAAAAGUUGUGUGCAAGUUGCCCACAACACGGUAUAAUGGAACAGUCUUUGCUCCAAUACUUUUAUGAAGGCCUGAAACCCAUGGAGAUGAAUAUGGUAGAUGUCGCGAGUGGAGGAGCGUUAGUCAACAUGACUCCACAACAAGCAAGAGACUUAAUCUCCACAAUGGCUGCAAAUUCUCAGCAAUUUCGAGCCAACCCUGAAUCCCCUAGAAGGGUUCACUAGCUAAGUAAUUCGACCUUAGAAGAUAAAUUUGAUAGACUUACUAAUAUUAUAAGCUCUCUUAUUGCAGAAAAAGCCAAACCAGCCCGAGUAUGCGGAAUAUGUGCUACCUUUGAACAUACGACUGAUGUAUGUCCCAGUUUGAAUGAUACUAUGGCUCAUUUAGAUGCUGCGGGAAAUUUUCCUGGACCACAACAAAGGCGAUAUGACCCUUACACUAACACCUACAACCCAGGAUAGAGGGACCACCCUAACUUAAGUUAUGGGGCCAAUCCACGAUAUAACCAGCCAUACCAAAAUCGGGUUCCACAGCAGCCACAAAAUUCAGGUAAUUCUCUGGAAACAUUGGUUAAUAAAUUAGCAGCUAAUAUGCUUGAUUUUCAACAAAAUACCGAGGCAUCUAUAAGAGAAUUGACCAUAUCAAUUGAGAAAUUAAACUUUCAAGGGAAGCUGCCAUCACAAACAGAACCUAAUCCAAGAAAACACGCAAAUGCAGUGACGUUGCAAAGUGGAAAGGUACUAGAACCAAUUCUUGAUAGGAAUCUUGGCCAAGAAAUCACCUAGGAAAAACUCGAAGACGACGAACAGGUCCGAGCGAAGCCUCCACUGCCGAAAAUCCAACCUCCAUUCCCAAGACGAUUAAACCAGUGUCGAAAAAGAUUAGAAGAAAGGAGGAACAACAAAUCUGCAGCCAAACAGCCCCUACUCGACACUUUUGGCCAGCAACUAACGGAUCCCAUUGCCAUCAUACGUAAACGGCAGUAAUAACACGGGGAGUUCCUCUACACCUUUUUCUCCUAUUUUAUUUGUUCCACAUCGGGGACUAUGUGUUUUAAGUAGGGAGGAGGCAUUCCUCAUUAUUUCUGUCUUUUAGCUGCUGAUUUGGUUGUUGCUGCACAUAUAAUUUUUUUUAAUAAUAUUUUGCCUCUUUUCAUGCCCAAGAAUUUGACCACGACUUGCCCACUGUUUGACCCAUAUGCAUGAGUCUUAUCUACUGAGUUAAUUAUGAUUUUUCUUGAUAGAUUUCAUCUCCACUGUUUUAUUUCUUUUAGUUUAAAUAAUUAUGAUUAAUAGAAUUAACCCUAACUUUAUUUUGGUAAAUUUGAUUAAGUCUAAAUACAAGAGGACACUUAAUACAAUUGCAUGCUUAAAAUAUGUUCAUAACUAUUAAGUUGGUUACUAAAACUUAUUUUUGACAUUUGUUUGUUUUUCUAAGUCCUCCAAAAUUAAAAUUUCGUUUAAUAAUAAUAAUGUUUCCGUGGUUAUGAGUGCAGCUUAAGACGUGACUAGCUGAGUAACCGGGAUAGGGUGCUUGGGUUGUCAUCCUAUUUCGCGUCAAAAGGUUGUGUGACGUGUUAGGUAAAACUCCGCUAACCGGAAUUAAUUUCUAAGAAUGUGUUGGGCUGAGUAACCGGGGUGAGGUGCUUGGCUGUCAUCUCUCUUCGCGUCAAAAGGUUCGAUAUGUUUUAGGAAAAAUAAAAAUUAGGAGUAUGUUGGGCUGAGUAACCGGGGUGGGGUGCUUGGCUGUCAUCUCUCUUCGCGUCAAAAGGUUCAAUAUAUUCCUAAGUAAAAAUAAAUAAAUAAAAUUAAAAUUUUAUAAAAAAAAGAAAAAAAAGUCAUAUUAAUAAAAUGUGAGGACUAAAGGUAAAAACGAAUAGAGUGUCUUGAUAGAUUUGGUAAAUUACCUAAUUUUCAUGAAAUAAUCCAAGUCGAUCUUAAUUUAUGUGUGUUAACUGGAACACUUUUUCAAUUUUACUUAAAUCAAGCUAAAGGUUUUCUUUAUUUUUCGUAUGCAUUUUGACUAAUUUUUAUAAAACUUUGGAGUAGAAUUUCUUUCAUGGCAGGAUUUAAUUUUCAUGGUGGACAGGAACCAUACUUGAGGGCAAGCAUGGGCUAAGUAGGGGAAUUUGAUAAUGCUCCAGAAUAACGUAUUUUUAUGUAUUAAUCAUGUGUUUAUUCUGAGCUUGAUCCUAUUAAUUUGAGCUAUUUAUGUCUUUUUAUCUUUUAGGGACUGAUUUGGAGGCAAAAGUAAAAUUAAUGGACAAAAGUGCGAAUUUGGAGACACAAUGGGUUGAUAUGCGACACAGGAAAAAGAUUGUGCCAAAAGUGCAAGCAUGGAAGACACAAGGACUAAAAAUGCAAAAAGAAGAGAUUUUAUUCUAUAAGACUCCAUUUUAUUAGAAUAAUUUAUAUUAGGAUAAUUAUUAGGAUUAUUUAAAUUUUAGGAUUUUAUUUUAAUUAUCUCUAUUUAUAUUUAAUUAAAUGUAUUUAUCUUUUAGAAUUUAAGUUAAAUUAGACUAUCCCCCUAGCACUAUAAAUAGGGGGUGAAGUGACUCUAUUUGGGUUCAUCUUUUUCUGAAAACACUCUCCCCCUGAAAGUCUAGACUUUUGUUUCUUCAUAUUUUCUUUCAAUAAAAAUUCCCUUUUCCCUUUUUAUAUUUAUUUUCUUUUCCACCAUUAUCAUGAGCCACUAAAACCUAUCUAGCCGAAAGUUAUCAAUAUUCAUCAAAAAGGGUUCUUGAGGCCUAGAAUCCAUACUUAGCCUUCUCGCCAAGUAUUCAUCGUUUCUCCGCACUACGGGCUGACGCUUUCGUCCAUGGCCCUUAAGAAGUAAACUUUUCAGCAUAUGCAAAGGCGGCCGCUUUGUAUGUUUUGGAAGGAUUGCACAGUCGGUUCGUUAACUUACUGCGUCAAAGGUUGGCGAGCCAAAGAGACAAAAUGGAGUGGGAUUCGCCAUUGAGAAGCGUUGAUCUAGCAUAGAUUACUGGCUAGAGUCAGGUUCUUUAAAAAUCGUAAGUCUAAUCUUUGGAGCUGAUGGUCGUAGGCGUCCUCUUCCACUAUAACUGGCUUACUUGAGUUGAGAAGGGUCAUUUAAAAGUCAAGGAUCGAACCCAAGGCGGAAUGAGACAACUGGAGGCUGGAAUCUACCAAUAAGAAUUUCUUUUCCUUUAACUCUCUUUAUUAUUUUUAUUAUUUUUGUAAUCACAAUUUCAGUCAACUUUAGAUUCUGUUUUUCAUUCUUUUCCAAAUCAAAUCUUUAAUUCUGUUAUUUUUAUUUUUUUCUGCCAUGCAGGUUUUCUUGGGCACGAUUCUGCCCAGGAUUUCGAGAAACAAGCAUUCGUAUAAUCCGAUCCCUGAGGAUUCGAUCCUACUUCCCCUUUACUGUUCUUUUUCAUUAUUUUACAGGGAAUAGAAUGUUUUUGGUGCUCUCAACGACACAUCAUUACAUAUAAAAGAACUUAUCCAUUAAUGGUGCAUAAUCUUAAUAUUUAUAAGAUGUAGAAGUUAAGAGACGAAUGUGAGGGAGGGCAGGGACCUUGACCCCUCAAAAUAAAAAAAAAUUCAAUUUAGUUUUCUUAUAAAUUAAGAAACUAUAAAUUAAUAUAUAAUGAAAUUGCAUUUUGACCCAUUCAAAUGAAUUUUUUUAAUUUAAUUCUCUUAUAAAUAAAGAAAACAGUAAGAUUGUACUUUAACCCCUUCAAAAUAAAAAUGUUUAGUCCCUUUAAAAUAAUCAAAUUAUAAAUUAAUAUAUAAUAAAUUUAUGUUUUAAUCUAUAAAAAGUUAUAGUUAAAUUCUGACUCUGAAAAUUUGUCAUUGCUAAACCAUAAAUCAAAUUGAUUAACCAAGAUAGAGUAAGAAAAGGAAAUCAAUUUGGCUAUGUUAAUUACAACAUAGUGACCAAUCAAUCAUGUUUCCUUAAAAUUUAUUAAAUUGAUUUUUAUUUUAUUUUGAUGAAAUAAGCACAAUAUUCUAUGUUUGCAAAGCCUUAGGCUUUUGAGAAUGACACUAAUAGAACAAAUGGUAAAUUUAGCAAUUGGUUGAGUAAUGAACUAAACAAUUAUUCACCUGGAUAUUCCAGGUUGGGAUCUUAAAUUAAAGAUACUAUUUUUAUUUUUAUUUUUUUACAGAAAGUUAACCACAUUAGGGAAGGUAUCAUAACCACGUUAGAUGCAGCUGAUAUACUUCUGAUGAAGAGUAACUUAGAGGAUGUGAUCACAGCCAUACACCUUUCCAGGAAAACAUUUUCUCAUAUUUACCUUAACUAUAUUUGGGCAUUGCGGCAUAAUAAACUUGGGAUUCCAAUAGCUGCAAGGGCUCUAUUUCCAUCAACUAGAUUUCGUUUACCUCCAAGGAUUGCUAGAGCAGCCACGACUACUUCCUUUGUUAGUGUUGUUUACUGCUCAUUCUUGUUUACGGCUACCACUCCUUAUGGUCUAAUUACCAUAUCAAUCCACCACCACUCAAUUCCAUGACAAUUUAGCACCUUUUAAAAAUAUAAGCUAACAUUUACGUCAUUUACAAUUUAGUCUUUUUUACCUAAUUAGCUAUCCAAAUGAUAAAAUUUCUUAACCAAAUUUAAAUAUGACACUAAUAACCUCAUAAAUAUUAAAUAAUUAGUAUUUACUAACCAAUAGAUUAGAAUUGUGGUUUCAAAACCACUAUUUCUAACACCACUAACAAACGAGCUGUUAUGAAGUUGGGUUUCAAUUUGAUUGUAAACAUAGAGGUACAAUAGGUUCAAAUUUUAAGGAAUAAAUAUAACAUUUUUGGGUUGAUACUAGAGAAUAUUAAGCAUACAAACUACUCCUAUUUAUGAAAAUCCUUAAUUAACAUUUGGGAAGAGGUGAAGAAGGGCCUUAUAUGGAUUGUCCGUGAUGGGUGCUUGGUUAACUUCUGGAAUGAUGACUAAGUGAGGGAAAUAGGGCCUCUAAAGUGACAUUAUAUUAUUCAUGGAAUUUUAGACGAGACAAUUCGAGCUUGUGAUAUUGCCACGUCAGAUGGUUUAUGGAAUGUGCAAUGGUUGUUAUCUAUUUUCCUCAUAAUGUGGUGAAGCAUAUAUUUGCGUGUAAGGCACCAGAAAGAGAUGCGGGGACUGAUCAUAUUAAUUGGCGUUGGAUGUCAGCAGGAAGGUUCUCGUUAGCAGAGUCAUACAAAUAUUUGUUUUCUGUUAGUGUACAAAGACAAAACAUAGAUUUCAUGUUAAUCUGGAAGGUGAGUACAGCACAAAGAGUUUGUGUUUUCUUAUGGUUACUUUUUCAGGACAAGUUGUUGACAAAUGAGAAGUGCACUCAUCGGGGUAUGUCCCAGGUUCUGUUUUGUAAGCAAUGUGGUAAUCUGGUCGAAUCAACAAUUCACGCGAUUACAAAUUGCGUUUUUGCACAAGCAGUGUGGAAAUCAGUUGUUCCAUGUUGGUGUUGGAGCCAAUUCUUUUACUUGUCGAGCGAUAAAUUGGUUAUGUGGAAUAUCAAGAAUGAAGGUGAGAUAAUGGUUCCGAACAAUAAGUAGGCAACUUUUUUCUCAAUUAUAUGUUGGUUUCUUUGGAAGCAUAGGAAUGCUUUUAUCCUUAGUGAUGCUAGUGGGAGCAGUUCAGAACUUAUUAGUUAAGCUUUGGCGUGGAGUAAGUCCGUGGGGGUUAGAAGGGUUGUUAAUCAAUGUGCAUGUAUGUAAAUGACAGUUGGAAGAUGGCAACCCCCAGUGGUUGAUUGGGUUAAAGUUAACGUUGAUGGUUCAAUUUUAAGAAAUAACCUAAAAGCAUCUGUAGGAGGGGCAGUGAGAGAGCCUAAUGGAGGAUGGUUGGUAGGAUUCAAGAUGGUAUUAGGUAUGAAUGAUAUUUUCUAGAUUAAAGCCAGAGCGAUUCUUGAAAGACUGAAAUUGGCAUGGGCUAGAGGAUUCAGAUGUGUUGAGUUGGAAAGUGACAACGCAAUGUUGAUCGAAUAUAUUCGUAAUGGGUUGGCUACAGUAAGUAGUGUUGUUGAAGUAAGACAGAUUUACGAUUGGUGUUCCAAAAAUUGGAAAGUCAAAUUUUGACAUAUUUAGCGGAAUGCCAAUAAAGUUGUUGAUUGCAUGGCUAAGGCAGAUAGAGGCAUAAUUGACAAGCUAAUUAUCCUGGAAGAUCUAUCGCAUUACGUGUGAUGCUGGCUUGAAGAAGAUAUUAAAAAGUUGCUGGUGACUGAUGAUAAUUUUCAUUAUGAUGAUGCUCACUUAAUUUUUUAAGCUUAUGUUCAACAAAAAAAAUUUUUAGCUUAUUGAUAUUGCGAAAAAUAAAUAUAAAUAUCUUUAAAAUUAAUUAAUAAAUUAAAUAUAACAUAUAUUAUUUUUAAGUAAACAAUAUGUAUUGAAUUAAUGAAAAAAAUAUUUUUAUCAAGAAUUUGUCUUAAAUUAUUUUUUUUCAUUCCAAAUUUGUCUGAGAUAUCAACAAAACAUAAGGAAAUUUUUGUCCAAAUUUGUUUCUAUAUUUUUAUGAGGAAUUUGUAGAUUAUUAUGGUAACAAAUGACCAUUUAUAAGUCAUGUCAUAUAAGAAUUGUUUCCUUUUGUGUAACCUCAUAUUAUUAUAAUAUAUAUAUAUAUAUAGAAAAUAUUUAUUAUUAUGUCAGUGAAACUUUUAGACAUCAAAUGCAAUGUGAGGGAGUUGAUAAGUAUCUUAUAGAGUAUAUUAGAUAUAUUAAAUAUGUUCUAAGUCUUUGUACUCCUCGAAUAUUUGAAAUUUAGUCCUUACUUUUAUUAAAAGGAAUUUACUCCUCUACUUUUUAGAUUUAAAAAAGUAAGUUAAAUUGUUAACACGGUUAAAUUUUUUUGUUAAAUUUAAUAUCAUAAAUCGUCAUUUUUUUUAGUUAUAUAAUUAUCAAGUGAGUUUUUUUUUUAAUUUUAAAAUAUCAUAUUAAUAAAUUUAACAAAAAAAAUUAAAAUGUUAACUAUUGGAUUUGAAUUUAAAAUAUAAAAAAUAGAAUAAUUAAAUUUCUGAAAAUAAAAAUCUAAAAAUUAAAUUUUAAAUUUAUUAUACUUAAUAUAGUAUAUUUUAACAAAGUUUAAACCAAGAAAUGCAACAGUUUGAACCAAUUGAGAAAUGGGCAAAGCGCAAAAUGUUCCGUUCACACGCCGAAAAGUACAAAACAAGGGGACGUAGCCCUGAUGCGAAUACGGCCCCAGUUUAUCCGAUGUGGGACCAUAUGAAAAUUCCGCGUUCUAAAGUUUGCCUUCACUGUCCACAGACGACGUUUUGACAGUCUUCUCAAAAUUCUAUAAAUUACGCUGCAUGGUACCCUUUUCAACUUGUAUUAGCCUCGUUUGAAAAUUAAAUAAAUUAAAUCUUGUUAUAGUUGCUCUGCUUUUGCUGCUCUUAUACUGAGUUCCAAGCAAAACCCUUUUCUGUUUUUCGUCUGAUUUCGCUAAGGUCUUCUUUGGGUAGUUUGAGAUCUGAAUUUUCCAUCAUACUAUGGCUUCUCAAUCUUCUAAGGAAUCAGUUCAUGAUUUCACUGUUAAGGUUGAUUUUGGGUUUAAUUCAAAUUUAUACCCCCAUAGAUUAAAUUUAAAUUGUCUUUCAUUUAUCUCACUGGGUUUUUGUUUUUUUAUUUUGGCUGUUCAGGAUGCAAGAGGGAAUGAUGUUGAUGUGGCAAGAAGUUUGACGAUGGCGACAAAGUUGUUAGCUUCGUCAUGCAUAAGGAAGGAGAGUUAUGGGGAUUUGUCACCAAGGCCUCAUUAUCCAUCGAUGCCCAAAUACCCAAAAGGGGUUACGGCACAAGAAACGAGCUUGCAGGGAUCAGAGGCGAAAGCUAUGUUUUCAGGAUGGGGAUGACAUGUUCAGCCUGCGCUGGCUCCGUCGAGAAGGCUAUUAAGAGGCUUCCGGGAAUUAAGGAAGCUGUUGUUGAUGUUUUGAACAACAAGGCGCAAGUCAUGUUCUACCCAAGUUUUGUACGUAAGUUUUUCUUAAUUUAUGUUUCGAUAAUUGAAUUUCAGAACAACUAACUUUUAAUUCAUCAAGUCGGAUGUUCAAAUUAAUUGCAGCCUUCUAAAGACAUGCAUGAAUAGGACAAGAAAAAUGUAACCUUUUUUUUGUUUGUUUGUGCAGUGAAACAAUUGUUUUCACUAAGCAACAAAAAACAAGAUUUGGUUCUUUGCUUUGACAAGUUUGACUUUGUUGACUUUAUUUCCACUUAACUUCGCUUGGGGAGGAUAAUGAAGAAACAACUUAAAGUAGGCAUGAUUAUGAACCCUGUCGAUUUUGACUUCUAUUGAUGCUUUACCUACAAAUCUACAGGUUGCUGCAAUUUGUUUUUGUGAAUGGGGCCAGCUUGGUAGUGAACCAUGAAACCCCACCUUACGUGUUAUAUACUUAAAUCCCAAGUACCACCCUUCAAAUUUUAAGUCUAUUCAAAUUUGGCUUCUCAUAUUGUCAAUCCAAUGAUGAGGAUAUUUAUAUAUUUCAUCAAUUUAACUUUUAUAUUUUUUAAAUUGUUUCAUGUCUUACGUUUCUUCUAGGUUAAAUUGUUUUUUAUAUUAGAUUUUUAUAUAAAAAUAUAAAAAGACAGUAGCAUCUAAUAUUUCUUAUUUUUUAAAUGAAUUUUUUAAAAUAAAUUUUCAAUUAAUGAGUUUAUGUUUGGUUCAUUCGUGUUAUUAACUCUAUUAAUAAUUUAAAUAUAAUAACUAUAGAUAUAAUAUUUAAAAUUAUUUUUAUAUAAAAAUAUAAAAAAAUCAAAAUAAAAACAUCAUUAUAAUAAUAUUUCCUAAAUUUUUUAUUUUUAAUAAAUUUUAAUUGAAUUGAUGUUGGAUUAAUUUGUGUUAUUAAUUCUCUCAGAAGUUUAAAUAUAUUAAGUAUAGAUAUAAUAUUUAACUUUUUAAGUGAGGGAAAACUAAGGGGAAAAAGUAUACUUCUACGUACAUCAAGAACUAUGCUUGAUGUUGUUUACUGUUGGAUGCUAAUUUCCAAAUGACUAAAAGGAUUGGACUGAAAGUUUUGCUACGGCUUUGCUCAUUGUUACAGAUGCAAAAAAAUGUUACUUGAUGACGUUAAGUGAAUGAAGUAAAGCUUAAAAAUGUAUCCCACUAAUUGUUCUUGCAGUUUCAUUAAAAGGUGCAAGAUUUAGCUCCUAACUUAUUAGAUGCAUGUUGGACUUGAAUCUGUCUUGUUCUUUUGUUUUUUUAUCUUGAACAAGGUUUUGAAAUAUUAAACAUUUAUAGGAAGAGAGCAUUCGUGAGGCCAUUGAAGAUGCUAGAUUUCAAGCUGCAUUGAUUCAAGACGAGACCGACGAUAAAUCCGUUCAAGUCUGCCUGAUCCGGAUCAACGGAAUGACAUGCACUUCUUGUUCCUCCACUCUUGAAAAUGCUUUGCAGGCAGUUCCCGGUGUGCAAAAGGUCCAAGUGGCUUUAGCAACCGAAGAGGCACAGAUUCAUCAUGAUCCCAAAAUCAUAACCUGCAAUCAACUCAUGGAGAAAAUAGAAGAGACCGGAUUCGGAGCCGUACUUGUUAGCACUGGAGAAGACAUGAGCAAGAUCAAUCUCCGUAUCGAUGGUGUGAGGACGGUUAACUCGAUGAGAAUGCUUGAAAAUUCCCUUCAAGCACUCCCUGGUGUUCAAGCUGUACAAAUAUCCCCUGAACUCAAAAAAAUUGCAGUCUCAUACAAACCAGAUAUGACAGGACGAAGAAACUUCAUCAAAGUAAUAGAUUCAACAGGCAGUAGCAGGCGUUUUAAGGCAACGAUAUAUUCCGAAGGUGAAGGUGGUGGAAGGGAAUCUCAUAGAAAGAAAGAAAUUAAGCAGUACUUCAGAUCCUUCCUAUGGAGCUUGAUUUUCACUACUCCUGUAUUUUUAACCUCCAUGAUUUUCAUGUAUAUCCCUGGAAUUAAACAUGGAUUGGACACCAAAGUAGUGAAUAUGUUAACUAUAGGUGAAGUCAUAAGAUGGGUGCUAUCAACUCCGGUUCAGUUCAUAAUAGGGAGACGGUUUUACACCGGUUCUUAUAAAGCAUUACGCCACGGGUCUGCAAAUAUGGAUGUUUUAAUCGCAUUGGGGACUAAUGCAGCUUACUUUUAUUCUGUCUACAGCGUGAUAAGAGCUGCUUCUCCAGAUUUUGAAGGUACUGAUUUUUUUGAAACAAGUGCAAUGCUUAUCUCAUUCAUUUUACUUGGUAAGUAUCUUGAGGUUCUAGCUAAAGGAAAAACAUCAGAAGCCAUUGCUAAGCUUAUGAACCUUGCACUUGAGACAGCAAUGUUGUUGAGUUUAGAUGAAGAAGGGAAUGUGAUAGGUGAAGAAGAAAUCGAUAGUCGACUGAUACAAAAGAAUGAUAUUAUCAAAAUCCUACCUGGUGCAAAAGUAGCUUCAGAUGGUUUUGUUUUGUGGGGGCAAAGUCAUAUAAAUGAAAGCUUGAUAACCGGAGAAGCACGACCGGUGGCAAAAAGGAAAGGCGAUACGGUUAUCGGAGGUACGGUUAAUGAGAAUGGAGUAUUGCAUAUUAAAGCAACAAAGGUUGGUUCAGAAAGUGCACUUGCACAGAUUGUUCGUCUUGUUGAAUCUGCUCAAAUGGCCAAAGCUCCUGUACAGAAGUUUGCCGAUCGUAUUUCCAAAUAUUUCGUGCCUCUGGUAAGUCAAGAGAGUCCUUUUAGGAUUGUUUCCACAAAGUUGGUUUUAAGCUACUUCUUGUUGUUGUUGUCUUCAACAGGUGAUCAUGCUUUCCUUUUCAACGUGGCUUGCAUGGUUUUUAGCUGGAAAGCUCCAUGGUUACCCUGAAUCAUGGAUACCAUCUUCAAUGGACAGUUUCGAGCUGGCACUUCAGUUUGGAAUCUCAGUGAUGGUCAUAGCUUGUCCAUGUGCCUUGGGGCUUGCAACCCCUACUGCUGUUAUGGUCGGUACCGGUGUCGGUGCAUCUCUAGGUGUAUUAAUCAAAGGUGGUCAAGCAUUGGAAGGUGCACAUAAGGUAAAUUGCAUUGUAUUCGACAAGACAGGAACUCUCACGGUCGGAAAGCCGGUCGUUGUUAACACAAGACUGUUGAAAAACGUGGUGUUACAUGAAUUCUACGAGCUUGUUGCUGCAACUGAGGCAAACAGUGAGCAUCCCUUAGCCAAAGCCAUUAUCCAGUAUGCCAAGUUCAGAGAAGAUGAAGAGAACCCUGCAUGGCCAGAAGCACGUGACUUCGUCUCUAUAACACGACAUGGAGUGAAAGCCAUUGUUAGGGACAAGGAAAUAAUUGUGGGAAACAAGAGCUUAAUGUUGGAAAACAACAUUGUUAUUCCAGUUGAUGCUCAAGACAUGUUAACCGAAACCGAAUCGAUGGCUCAAACCGGCAUUUUAGUAUCGAUAGACGGUGAAGUAACGGGAGUUCUCGCCAUAUCCGAUCCAGUGAAACCAGGUGCACAAGAAGUUAUUUCCAUUCUCAAGUCAAUGAAUGUAAGAAGCAUCAUGGUGACUGGUGAUAAUUGGGGAACUGCAAGUUCCAUUGCUAGUCAAAUUGGCAUUGAAACUGUUGUCGCAGAAGCUAAACCUGAACAAAAAGCAGAGAAAGUAAAAGAGUUACAAGCGGAAGGUUAUGCUGUGGCAAUGGUAGGGGAUGGCAUCAAUGAUUCGCCGGCACUUGUAGCCGCCGAUGUCGGUAUGGAAAUUGGUGCAGGAACAGAUAUU